rnacentral:lncRNA from 1 species
CUGCGCUCAGCUUGAGAGACUACAGAUUUACCGGAAAGUGCAGCCGCAUAUGACUUCCUAGCUUGAUUAGUUACUGUAGGGACCUCCCGUGGUAAAUCCGAUGAUGGAAUUGGGUCCGUAACAAAAUUCCCCACAUUCUGCUGAAGGGUCACCGGCGCGUGACCACCACGCGCCGGCCGUUGACCGGCCGUUGACCGGCGGCGAUUUUCCAACGGUGUCAGAAAAUUAUGAUUUUUCACAGGAAGAUGCGGAAUUUCAUGCUGAUCAUCACGGUAUAUUCCGUUUUCCGAAAUGAGUUCAGGAUUGGCCGGAAUCUGCGAUUUUCCGAGCGACUGGCCGGAACUUGCGAUCGCCGGUGCGGGCGCGUCCAACGUCGGAUUUGGAUGAUUUUUUAGUCGAAGGUUAGCCUUUUCAUGGGUAAUCAGAUGGUGAGGCGCGUGUCCCUGUUUGAGCUCUGUGGAAGGAUUAAUUGAAAAAUCAGUUUUUGGCCCCUCGGGAUUUGAUCUGUCAAUUUCGGGCGAUUCGGACGAAAUCUCUACCACCCCUAGGGUUUUCGGCCCUUCUGGAAUCAUUGGUGAGGGUCCCAAACCCUGAAUCGCUGCAGAAGAUGAAGUUUUGAUGACAUUGGAAAACGUGCCACCAUUGUUCUUACCAGAAUUCAAUCCAAUUACUUCCAAAACUGUUAAAUCUUGAUUUUGCUGAUCCUCUGGGAUUGUUUGGGGUUCAAAUCCACCGGGUAAAGGUGGUAUAUCGGGUGGUGGGUUAAGAUUCUUGAAGGUUUGUGGUUUGUCUCCCAUUCUAGAGAGAAGGGAGAGCGUUUUUGGCUAGAGAGAGAAAGUUGGUUUUGG